CCUACGGGAGGCAGCAGUGAGGAAUAUUGGUCAAUGGACGAGAGUCUGAACCAGCCACGUAGCGUGAAGGAUGACUGCCCUAUGGGUUGUAAACUUCUUUUAUAUGGGAAUAAAAUGUUCCACGUGUGGGAUUUUGUAUGUACCAUAUGAAUAAGGAUCGGCUAACUCCGUGCCAGCAGCCGCGGUAAUACGGAGGAUACGAGCGUUAUCAGGAUUGAUUGGGUUUAAAGGGAGCGUAGGUGUGUUGUUAAGUCAGUUGUGAAAGUUUGCGGCUCAACCGGAAAAUUGCAGUUGAAACUGGCAGUCUUGAGUACAGUAGAGGUGGGCGGAAUUCGUGGUGGAGCGGUGAAAUGCUUAGAUAGCACGAAGAACUCCGAUUGCGAAGGCAGCUCACUGGACUGCAACUGACACUGAGGCUCGAAAGUGUGGGUAUCAAACAGGAUUAGAUACCCUAGUAGUC
rnacentral:rRNA from 1 species